rnacentral:rRNA from 1 species
AUUGAACGCUGGCGGCAUGCUUUACACAUGCAAGUCGGACGGCAGCGCGGGCUUCGGCCUGGCGGCGAGUGGCGAACGGGUGAGUAAUACCUCGGAACGUGCCCAGUAGCGGGGGAUAGCUCGGCGAAAGCCGGAUUAAUACCGCAUACGACCUGAGGGUGAAAGCGGGGAACUUUAGGGCCUCGCGCUAUUGGAGCGGCCGAUGGCAGAUUAGCUAGUUGGUGGGGUAAAGGCCUACCAAGGCGACGAUCUGUAGCUGGUCUGAGAGGACGACCAGCCACACUGGGACUGAGACACGGCCCAGACUCCUACGGGAGGCAGCAGUGGGGAAUUUUGGACAAUGGGCGCAAGCCUGAUCCAGCAAUGCCGCGUGUGUGAUGAAGGCCUUCGGGUUGUAAAGCACUUUUGGCAGGAACGAAAAGUGCCGUGCUAAUACCACGGUACGAUGACGGUACCUGCAGAAUAAGCACCGGCUAACUACGUG